rnacentral:tRNA from 1 species
GGUUUCUUAGNGUAGCGGUUAUCACGUCUGCUUUACACGCAGGUCCUGGGUUCGAGCCCCAGAGGAACCA